UCUCCGUUGGUGAACCAGCGGAGGGAUCAUUACUGAGUGAGGGUCUCCGGGCCCGACCUCCAACCCUUUGUGAACCAAACUUGUUGCUUCGGGGGCGACCCUGCCGCUUCGGCGGUGCGGCGCCCCCGGAGGCCAUUAAACACUGCAUCAUUGCGUCGGAGUUAAAGUAAAUUAAACAAAACUUUCAACAACGGAUCUCUUGGUUCCAGCAUCGAUGAAGAACGCAGC
rnacentral:misc_RNA from 1 species